rnacentral:rRNA from 1 species
AUGGCUGGUGCGGCAGCUUGUUCCGGUGCCAGCGGCGUCCUGCUCAUCCAGAGAAGGAGAGAUAAGGGCCUCAGGGAGAGAGGAAACAGAGGAAGAAAGGAGAAGGAGAAGGGGCGCAAGGUGAGGGAGGGAUCUAGCGGGUGGUGCGAGGGCUUGCUCCGGUGGCGGCGGCGGCCUUCUCAUACAAAGAAAGAGAUGGACAGGGCGUGGGGGGAGAGAGGAAGCAAGGAGAAGGAGAAGGGGCGCGUGGUGAGGAAGACGGUCGCCGGCUGUGGUGCCUCCGGUGACCGACCGGCGGCACGGUGGCGAGUUCCUGUUGAGGCCACACAGAACUAG